rfam:Xenopus laevis strain J chromosome 1S, whole genome shotgun sequence.
GUCACUUCUCUGCCGUUUGGCUAAGAUCAAGUGUAGUAUCUGUUCUUAUUAGUUUACCGUUGGGGAGCAUGCAACCCACUGAGUGAACAGAGAAUCACUUGAUCAUUACCAUGGGCCAUGAGGCUUUGCUUUAAAGCCCAAGUUUUUUGCGCCCCAGCCUUGCACACCUGGGGUGCCUUACCUUA